AACGAACGCUGGCGGCAUGCCUAACACAUGCAAGUCGAACGAGACCUUCGGGUCUAGUGGCGCACGGGUGCGUAACGCGUGGGAACCUGCCCUUAGGCUCGGAAUAACUCCUCGAAAGGGGUGCUAAUACCGGAUAAUGUCCUCGGACCAAAGAUUUAUCGUCUUUGGAUGGGCCCGCGUUGGAUUAGCUAGUUGGUAGGGUAAAAGCCUACCAAGGCGACGAUCCAUAGCUGGUCUGAGAGGAUGAUCAGCCACACUGGGACUGAGACACGGCCCAGACUCCUACGGGAGGCAGCAGUGGGGAAUAUUGGACAAUGGGCGAAAGCCUGAUCCAGCAAUGCCGCGUGAGUGAUGAAGGCCGUAGGGUUGUAAAGCUCUUUUACCCGGGAUGAUAAUGACAGUACCGGGAGAAUAAGCUCCGGCUAACUCCGU
rnacentral:rRNA from 1 species